GGGCUGCAGUGCGGUAGUGGCAAGGAACAGGGAAAGCGUUGCAAUACGUAAGCAAGCGCAGAAAGGUUGAGAGCAAAAAAAAAAACUAAAACAGACGCAAAGAAACUACGAGAUAGCAAACACACAAUAGCUCGGCAAAUGACAGAGCCCUGAGUGAAAGCCGAAGGCAGUACUUAAUGAAAAAUAGAACUAGUCUCAUUGCGGGUUUUCUACAGUGACUGGUCGGCACACAUCUGUGGAGGAACUUUGAUUCACAGCCGCUGGGUUCUGACGGCUGCCCACUGCGUCCGAAGCGGAGUGUCUGUGGUUGCAGUUGUGGGAGAACACAAUAUU